rnacentral:lncRNA from 8 species
GGCUGGGGGCAGGUCAAGGAGGCAGACUGAAUGGGAAAUUACACUGAUCGAAGGAAAGGAGGAAGACAGUGUGUAUUGACUUGUAGGACACGUCGAUAUAGACUCGCUUGUCAACAUGAAUUCUUUCUAUUUUCCCCAACAGUCCCAGGUGCCAGAGCAACUUUGAAGAAUCUGCUUUUGUGUUAGAACCAGCCUCCCUCCACACUCCUUGGCACGGGAGACUGUAAAGGCAGAAGGCACCUGAAGACUUUCUGACCGGGGCCCUGGAACCCGAUCAGCUGACCCGUUCCAAAUCCACCCCUGAUCCGUGCAUGGAAAUAGCCCAGGAGCCAGUGGGGUGUGGGCCUGGUGGGUGCGGGGUGGGCACGGGU